rnacentral:rRNA from 1 species
AUAACCUGGAGGAAGGUGGGGAUGACGUCAAAUCAUCAUGCCCCUUAUGCUUAGGGCUACACACGUGCUACAAUGGGUAGUACAGAGGGUGGCCAAGCCGUAAGGUGGAGCUAAUCCCUUAAAGCUAUUCUCAGUUCGGAUUGUAGGCUGAAACUCGCCUACAUGAAGCUGGAGUUACUAGUAAUCGCAGAUCAGAAUGCUGCGGUGAAUGCGUUCCC